rnacentral:lncRNA from 1 species
UCAGAAAUCUGCCUGUCUCCGGAGUGCUGGGAUUAAAGGCGUGCUCCACCACACCCGGCCUCCUUGAUAAUUCUUAAACCACAGUUUUUAAGUCCUUUCCUCCCUCGUUUUCUUUUUUUUUUUUCUUUUUUUAAAUUUUAUGUAUGUGGGUGUUUUGCCUGAAUUUGUAUGUGUGUACCAUGUUUGUGCUUGUUACUGGAGGAGUCCAGAAGAGGGUAUUGGAUCUUCUGGAACUGGAGUUAAGAAAAUUUGUGGCUUGCUGGAGAUCAAACAGGUUCUCUGGAAGACCAGGAAGUGCUUUUAACUACUGAGCCAAGUCUUCCCAGUUUGUGAAUGACUAAUUGAUUCAAAAAGAUCAGAUUAUUUGCAUUUUUCCUGGCAACUAGAAAUCCAGGCUGUACAGAACUGCCACUGACCUAUGCCUCUAGGCACCAAAGUGAUUGUCUCAGGGUUUGUAUUCCUGCACAAAACAUCAUAACCAAGAAGUAAGUUGGGGAGGAAAGGGUUUAUUCAGCAUGUAUAUACCUCCAUAUUGCUGUUCAUCGCCAAAGGAAGUCAGGACAGGAACUCACACAGGGCAGGAACUUGGAGGUGGAAGCUGAUGCAGAGGUCAUGGAGGGGUGAUGCUUACUGGAUUGAAUCCCCUGGCUUGCUAAGCUUGCUUUCUUAUAGAACCUACCAGCCCAGGGAUGGCAUCACCCACAAUGGGCCCUCCUUCCUUUGAUUGCUAAUUGAGAAACUGGAUCUUACAGCUGGAUCUCCUGGAGGCAUUUUCUCAAGGGAUGUUUCUCUAUGAUAACUCCAGCUUGUGUCAAGUUGUCACACAAAACCAGCCAGUAUGAUGAUAUUUAAACUUUUGUUGCAUGACUCCAAAAUUCUAUUCAUUAAGACAUUGAAAUGUAGGACUGGUCAGAAAUGGUGGUGUUUGUAAUCCCAGUUUCUACAGAAGCUGACCUUAUCACAAACAAGGUCAGGGCCAGCCUGGGCAACACAUUCAGGACCUUGUUUUAUAAACCAAACCAAAAUAAGCAACACAAAACAUGGGACUAACUUAAUUCUGCCUGUAAAGGACCUAUGUACAGUCAUAAGUAUUCUUAAAAUUUAUUAAGUUAAGUUUUAUUUUUAUUUACCUUGUUUUGUUUGGAUUUUUUUGUUUGUUUGGAAACAGGGUCUUUUUACAUAGCCCUGGAUUUACUGGAACUCACUAUCUAUGUAAACCUGUAGAUCAGGCUGGCUUUGAAUUUAGACAUCUGCCUGCCUCUGCCUCCUGAAUGUUGGGAUUUAAAAUAUGCACUACAAUGCUUAUCUAAGCUUUAUUUUUAAAUUAUGUGUCUGUGUUUGGAUUUAUACAUGUGAAUGCAGGAGUCCACAGAGGCUGGAGUAGGAACUGUCCUCUGGAACUGAAAGACAGGUGUUGUGAGCUCUAUGAUAUGGUUGUUGGGAAUCAACUUUGGGUCCUCUGAUAGAACAGGUAGUGGUUUUUACCUGCUCUAUUGCUAACAUCAUUUUGUUUUUUAUUAUAUAAUACAUUAUGCAUACAGAAAAAAUUAUGUAACAAAAUGCCUAUGUAACUACUAUCAAAGCUUUAAAAGAAUAAAGUAUUACAGUUGCAAUUAUAUAUAUCCCUUUUGUACCUAUUCUCAAUCCUGUCUUGUUUCUUCUUAGCUACAUGCCUCCUGUUUGUUUAUAUUCCUUUUUUGUUUCUUUGUUUGAGACAGGAUCUCAUUUUAUAACCCUGCCUGUCCUGGAAAUUUCUUUGUAGACUAGGUUGGCCUCAGACUCAAAAAUCUGCAUGCUUCUGACUCCUGAGUGGUAGAAUUAAAGGUAUGUGCUACCUACCACACCUGGCUAUAUAUGCCUUAAAACAAAAUAAAACAAAAACCCAAAGCAAAAAGUAAGUGUGUGUGUAAUAUUUACAGAAAAACUUAACUUCUAGUUGUUUCUUUCCUUCUACCUGUGAGUCCUGAGAUUAGAGAUAAGGUGGUCAAGAUUGAGGUGAUGAGCUUCUUUCACCUGCUGAGCCAUCUCUCUUGUCCUGGUUUUUUAUAUUAAGUGCAUAUCAGGAAACAGUGUGAGUGAUACUUCACCUAGUAGAGAGUGUGUGUGUUUUUUUAAUAUAUUGUAUGUAAGUACACUGUAGUUUUCUUCAGACACACCAGAAGAGGGAAUCAGGUCUUGUUACGGAUGGUUGUGGGCCACCAUGUGGUUGUUGGGAUUUGAACUCAGCACCUCCAGAAGAGCAGUCGGUGCUCUUUACCACUGAGCCAUUGUUCCAGCCUGAGUAUUUUAAAGAUAGUUCUCAGAAAACAACUGUUACUGUUUUAACAUUGCACUGUUUAGAAUGCUGGUGUGAAUAUGGGUAAAGUAUUUGCAGAUGAGAUUGUUUUUGCAUGCAGAAUUCAUCCUUAGAUUAAUUAAAAUGUUUUUCUCUUAGUAAUUUUUAUGAUUUGGAUUUAAAUAUAGAAUAAUUAAAAUUGUUAGCAUCAAUUUCAGAUUAUAAAUCCCUGAACUUUCUCCUUUCCCCCCCUCAUUUCCUGACCUUGAAAACCUGAGUUUAUUCAUUUACUUAGCUAGAGGUUUCAAGUCAGACUAAGUUUUGCAGGAAAUAAUAAAAAGAAAAUGAUGUAUUCCUGUGCUACUCUGUGCACCGGUGGGCCACCUGGCUCCAGCAGGGCGUUCUCGUCUCAGCACUCUCUGGCCCAGGGCUCUCAAGAUGUCUCUACCUGACUCAGUAAUUUCCCUUGGCGGGCCAUUGUCAUGCCAACCCCAUGCAAUCAUCGCCCACCUUGGGGUUAGAUAUCACAAUACCCAGUAACAUGGUAAAAUCAAAACUCUUGAAGCUUAUAAUUAACUAGUCAUAUAUAUAUAUAACAAUAAGUUCUCAAUUCACAAGAUGCCCACCCAAUAAUUUCAGGGCCAAUUGAUAAUGAUACAAGCUGCCCACCUUCAUUAGACAAUCUACUCCUAUUAUUUUAUCCCAAUGUGAAAUUAUAUGUACCUGUGGCUAUUUAAAGCCAUGCUGAAUCUGAAUCAUCUUGUUUGUUGGCCUCCAUCUUGCUUCCUCUUCUCUCUUCCAAGUCCGCCCUCUGUCCCUGCAACUCUUAGCUCCACCUCCCUUUUCCCUGUCCAAUCACAGGCCUCCUGCUUCAGUAAUAUUUAAAUUAACUGGACAGGGAAAAUCCUGCUACAGCUAAGUUUGUAAAUAUAUUUUUUUUGGCUUUGUAUAACUAAAAAGUUUUUAGGGGAAGGAUAGAUGGCUCAGUGGUUAAGAGCACUGAUAGCUCUUCCAGAGGUCCUGAGUUCAACUCCCAGCAACCACAUGGCGGCUCACAACCGAUGCUCUCUUCUGAUCUGUCUGAAGAGAGUAAAAAGUGUACUCAUGUACAUAAAAUAAAAUAAAUCUAGAAAAAAAAAAAAAAACCCUGAGU